rnacentral:rRNA from 1 species
GACGAACGCUGGCGGCGUGCCUAAUACAUGCAAGUCGAACGCAGUGGGGACGGGUGAGUAACACGUGGGUAACCUCCCAUCAGAGGGGAUAACACUUGGAAACAGGUGCUAAACCGAUACUGAUGGAUGGACCCGCGGUGAAUUAUCUCGUAGGUAAGGUAAUGGCUUACAUAGGCGACGAUCCCUAGCUGGUCUGAGAGGAUGAUCAGCCACACUGGGACUGAGAUACGGCCCAGACUCCUACGGGAGGCAGCAGUGGGGGAUAUUGCACAAUGGGCGAAAGCCUGAUGCAGCGAUGCCGCGGGGGGGAUGAAGGCUUUCGGGUUGUAAACCUCUUUCGCUAUCGAACGGGUAGGUGGAGAAGAAGCGCCGGCUAACUACGUGCCAGCAGCCGCGGUAAUAC